UCGAGAAUUUUUCACAAUGGGGGAAACCCUGAUGGAGCGACGCCGCGUGGGGGAUGAAUGGCUUCGGCCCGUAAACCCCUGUCAUUCGCGAACAAUGUUCCGGCAUUAACACCGCCGGGAUUGAUAGUAGCGGAAGAGGAAGGGACGGCUAACUCUGUGCCAGCAGCCGCGGUAAUACAGAGGUCCCGAGCGUUGUUCGGAUUCACUGGGCGUAAAGGGUGCGUAGGCGGUCGGGUAAGUCUGAUGUGAAAUCUCAGAGCUCAACUCUGAAACUGCAUUGGAUACUAUUCGGCUUGAGGUCUGGAGGGGGGACUGGAAUUCUCGGUGUAGCAGUGAAAUGCGUAGAUAUCGAGAGGAACACCAGUGGCGAAGGCGAGUCCCUGGACAGGUCCUGACGCUGAGGCACGAAAGCUAGGGGAGCAAACAG
rnacentral:rRNA from 1 species